rnacentral:rRNA from 1 species
GACGAACGCUGGCGGCGUGCCUAAUACAUGCAAGUCGAGCGCAGGAAAUCGACGGAACCCUUCGGGGGGAAGUCGACGGAAUGAGCGGCGGACGGGUGAGUAACACGUAAAGAACCUGCCCUCAGGUCUGGGAUAACCACGAGAAAUCGGGGCUAAUACCGGAUGGGUCAUCGGACCGCAUGGUCCGAGGAUGAAAGGCGCUUCGGCGUCGCCUGGGGAUGGCUUUGCGGUGCAUUAGCUAGUUGGUGGGGUAAUGGCCCACCAAGGCGACGAUGCAUAGCCGACCUGGGAGGGGGAUCGGCCAAACUGGGACUGAGACACGGCCCAGACUCCUACGGGAGGCAGCAGUAGGGAAUCUUCCACAAUGGACGAAAGUCUGAUGGAGCAACGCCGCGUGAACGAUGAAGGCCUUCGGGUCGUAAAGUUCUGUUGUAAGGGAAGAACAAGUGCCGCAGGCAAUGGCGGCACCUUGACGGUACCUUGCGAGAAAGCCACGGCUAACUACGUGCCAGCCGCCGCGGUAA